rnacentral:rRNA from 1 species
UACAGAGGGUGCAAGCGUUAGUCGGAAUUACUGGCGUAAAGCGUGACGUAGACGGUUAUUUAAGUCAGGUGUGAAAGCCCCGGGCUCAACCUGGGAAUUGGCAUUUGAGACUAGAAUAGCUAGGGUGCGGAAGAGGGAAGCGGAAUUUCCGGUGUAGCGGUGAAAUGCGUAGAUAUCUGGAGGAAUACCGGUGGCGAAGGCGGCAUCCUGGACCGGCAUUGACGCUGAGGCGCGAAAGCCAGGGGAGCAAAGCAGGG